rnacentral:rRNA from 1 species
CGCAGCGAGAGGUGCUUGCACCUUUCAAGCGAGUGGCGAACGGGUGAGUAACACGUGGAUAACCUGCCUCAAGGCUGGGGAUAACAUUUGGAAACAGAUGCUAAUACCGAAUAAAACUUAGUAUCGCAUGAUAUCAAGUUAAAAGGCGCUACGGCGUCACCUAGAGAUGGAUCCGCGGUGCAUUAGUUAGUUGGUGGGGUAAAGGCUUACCAAGACGAUGAUGCAUAGCCGAGUUGAGAGACUGAUCGGCCACAUUGGGACUGAGACACGGCCCAAACUCCUACGGGAGGCUGCAGUAGGGAAUCUUCCACAAUGGGCGCAAGCCUGAUGGAGCAACGCCGCGUGUGUGAUGAAGGCUUUCGGGUCGUAAAGCACUGUUGUAUGGGAAGAAAUGCUAAAAUAGGGAAUGAUUUUAGUUUGACGGUACCAUACCAGAAAGGGACGGCUAAAUACGUGCCAGCAGCCGCGGUAAUACGUAUGUCCCGAGCGUUAUCCGGAUUUAUUGGGCGUAAAGCGAGCGCAGACGGUUGAUUAAGUCUGAUGUGAAAGCCCGGAGCUCAACUCCGGAAUGGCAUUGGAAACUGGUUAACUUGAGUGUUGUAGAGGUAAGUGGAACUCCAUGUGUAGCGGUGGAAUGCGUAGAUAUAUGGAAGAACACCAGUGGCGAAGGCGGCUUACUGGACAACAACUGACGUUGAGGCUCGAAAGUGUGGGUAGCAAACAGGAUUAGAUACCCUGGUAGUCCACACCGUAAACGAUGAAUACUAGGUGUUAGGAGGUUUCCGCCUCUUAGUGCCGAAGCUAACGCAUUAAGUAUUCCGCCUGGGGAGUACGACCGCAAGGUUGAAACUCAAAGGAAUUGACGGGGACCCGCACAAGCGGUGGAGCAUGUGGUUUAAUUCGAAGCAACGCGAAGAACCUUACCAGGUCUUGACAUCCUUUGAAGCUUUUAGAGAUAGAAGUGUUCUCUUCGGAGACAAAGUGACAGGUGGUGCAUGGUCGUCGUCAGCUCGUGUCGUGAGAUGUUGGGUUAAGUCCCGCAACGAGCGCAACCCUUAUUGUUAGUUGCCAGCAUUCAGUUGGGCACUCUAGCGAGACUGCCGGUGACAAACCGGAGGAAGGCGGGGACGACGUCAGAUCAUCAUGCCCCUUAUGACCUGGGCUACACACGUGCUACAAUGGCGUAUACAACGAGUUGCCAACCUGCGAAGGUGAGCUAAUCUCUUAAAGUACGUCUCAGUUCGGACUGCAGUCUGCAACUCGACUGCACGAAGUCGGAAUCGCUAGUAAUCGCGGAUCAGCACGCCGCGGUGAAUACGUUCCCGGGUCUUGUACACACCGCCCGUCACACCAUGGGAGUUUGUAAUGCCCAAAGCCGGGGCCUAACCUCGGGAGGAGC